GAAAGCUCCAGUGGGAGAGGAGACCUUAAAAGCUCUCAUCUCUGUCUCCCUCUCACCCACCCACCCCCCACCACACACGCACAUAAAUUCAUAACUAUCCUGCCAUCUGACACUUGACAGGCAAGAUCAUCCUCAUCCAUUCAUCCUAUAACCACCUCCCACCUGCUUCAGCCGAGAUGGACUUCUCACUGUGCUCACAAUCCAUUAAGCUGGCUGGGAUACCACCUGCCCGUCUGCCUCCUCUCAGGUGGUCUAGGAAGAAGAGAAGCGUAGGGACUUUGCUGGCAGUCUAGCAGUUAAGACCAUGCUUCCACUACAGGGGUCAGGGGUUCAACCCCUGGUUGGGGAACUUAGAUCCCACAAGCUACGUGGGCAAAAAGUAAAAAAUAAAUAAAAAUUUUAAAAGAGGAGAAGGGUAAAAUGAUUAAGUAAAUAACUAACAAUGUCUCUAUGAAUAUAGUGAUCAGUAACUAUACACUUUUGAAAGCAAUCAUUUGCUAUUGAUAUUGAAGUUUCCCAUUUAC
ensembl:lncRNA